AAAAAUAUCCGUCUGGAGGAGUUUUUGCCUUUGUUUCUUCUGGUGAAGGAGCAGAUGGGCAGGAGCUUCAGCUCCUCUCCUUAUCCCAAGGGACCAUCCUCGGGGGGAAAAAGAAGCAGGAUGCUCUUUAAAGUUGGUAAAUAAGAUCUCAAUUUGAAUCCACCUCUGUUGAUACGAGUCUGCUGAGAAGAUGAAAAUCAGUCGUUUGCCUGGAGCCACCACUACCUCUCGCUGAUAUUUUCUGCUGAGGAACCAGUAAAUCGAGGGGCUUCAUAAAGUGUUUUGUUGCAUGGCUCUGAGUGAAUUACUUGUAAAGGGAGCAUGGAAUAUAAAAAUUCAUCUUGCAAGGAAGUUGCCCUGUUGGAUGAAUCCCAUCUAGAUGUUAAAACAGGCUCAAACCUUAAAAUGGAAUGUAUUUUCACAAGAUAAGUAGUUAGUAAAGGCU